UGGGGAAUUUUGGCCAAUGGGGGAACCCCUGAUCCAGCAAUCCCGCGUGUGCGAUGAAGGCCUUCGGGUUGUAAAGCACUUUUGGCAGGAAAGAAACGUCAUGGGUUAUUACCCCGUGAAACUGACGGUACCUGCAGAAUAAGCACCGGCUAACUACGUGCCAGCAGCCGCGGUAAUACGUAGGGUGCAAGCGUUAAUCGGAAUUACUGGGCGUAAAGCGUGCGCAGGCGGUUCGGAAAGAAAGAUGUGAAAUCCCAGAGCUCAACUUUGGAACUGCAUUUUUAACUACCGGGCUAGAGUGUGUCAGAGGGAGGUGGAAUUCCGCGUGUAGCAGUGAAAUGCGUAGAUAUGCGGAGGAACACCGAUGGCGAAGGCAGCCUCCUGGGAUAACACUGACGCUCAUGCACGAAAGCGUGGGGAGCAAACAGG
rnacentral:rRNA from 1 species